GCCAGCAGCCAUAUCACUCUGCAACUUACAAGUGGCAGCUCACUGACGUUAAGCAGGUAUGAGCUUGGUCAGUACCUGGAUGAGAGAUCUCCUGGGAAAAAUGUAGGUUGUUGCUGGAA
rnacentral:rRNA from 1 species